UAUGUGAUCGUCUCUCGCAUAUCAAUAAGCGGAGGAAAAGAAACUAACAAGGAUUCCCCUAGUAACGGCGAGUGAAGCGGGAAGAGCUCAAAUUUGAAAUCUUAAAGGGUUUCCCUUUACGAAUUGUAGUUUAAAGAAGUGUUUUCUGUUGAGGUUUUGGUAAAAGUUCUUUGGAAUAGGACAUCAUAGAGGGUGAGAAUCCCGUAUUUGACCUUUACUUUCAACUUUGUGAUACACUUUCAAAGAGUCGGAUUGUUUGGGAAUGCAGUCCAAAAUGGGUGGUAAAUUUCAUCUAAAGCUAAAUAUUGGCGAGAGACCGAUAGCGAACAAGUACCGUGAGGGAAAGAUGAAAAGAACUUUGAAAAGAGAGUUAAACAGUACGUGAAAUUGUCAAAAGGGAAGCGUUUGACACCAGUGUUGUUUUUCUGAAAAUCAAUUAAAGAACUGUUUAUGCUAAGCUGUUUAGACUUUAUCAGCUAUCUGCUUAGUUUUGAGCUUUUCUUUAAUGCACUUUUCAGUUAACAAGUCAACAUCAAUUUCUUUUGCUGUAAAAAAGCUUGAGGAAGGUGGCUUGAGAUUCGUCUUAAGUGUUUAUAGCCUCUUGCCUAUGCGGUCGGAGAGAUUGAGGUCUGCAGCGUAGAUCCUUCGGGGCUAAAUGCAUUUGUGCUAAGUUAUAGCAUUUUAUAGACAACUUGUUGACUAUGAUUUGUCUUGUAGCUUACUCGCUUAUGUUAUUUUACCUACGCUUAGGAUGUUGAUCUACAGAGCGAGAGU
rnacentral:rRNA from 1 species